UCCGCCACCCUCCUCCUCAUCCAUGGCCACCAUUUGCUGUGAAACCCAGAACUAAUUUCCGACCUUUUCUCAUCAUCCUCACCACCGCUGUCUACCCCACUUCGUCGCCCUUCUCUCAGUCCCACAUGCGCAGCUCAACGUCUUAACCAGUGAGAUAACCGCAAUAUGCAGCAGGACGAGGUCAUAUGGCAGGUCAUCCGCCACAAGCACUCCAAGUAGGUCGUCGUUUACCUCAUCUCCUUCAUAGCUUUUCAAUCCGAUUCUUCUAAUAUUCGGUUUUCCCCUUACCGGGAUUUUGCAACCGGAGCUCCUGCCCUCUCUUGCCAAUAGUCGCUACGCCACCAUUCGCGACCACGAUGGUACUUACUGUUCUCUCUGAAAUUUUCAUAUUUGGUUUUUUAUGAGGAAAUGUGCAGAUGCCUGUACAAAGUUCGUUGUUUUACUUUGGACUACGCUUUUUUCGUGUUUUUCGUUCGACUUACCUUCUUGACAGUUGAUGAGGUUAUGAGUCAGGAGGUUGCAUACAACUUUGGUGCCCAUUCGAUGAACUGUUUCAUACAAUAGAGUUUGAUCCAUUUGUAUGCUUGAGCAUGAAUUGAGAUUAGGGGUUGAUAGAUUAGUGUGUUCUGUAGGCAGGGAGACUGAGAAAAUACUUAUGAAUGCUACCGAGUCUUUUAUCUUCAUAUGAAAACUAUAGAGAGAGCUCAUAUGCCAAACAAAUUGUGGGAAAGAGUUAUGAGAAAGCACUUGAAAUCAUUGACAAACAUCUGAUAGCCUAAGUUUCUUAUACAUAAAACAAAGCAACGGCGCACUAAAAUGACUCAGAUGCAUAAGCGCAUGAGGAAACUUGCUUUGAAAACAAGGGGGAAAAUAAUGACAAUUCCCAAGGAAGGAAAUAAAGAGAGAAUCUAGAAGAGAGGGUAAGGCUGAAACGACUGCAGUCCUGGAACAGGAAGGUAUGCCAUAAUAUGUUGAAGGUUAUGAGGAUCUUGAAGAGGAGGAUGAUAUUGAAGAUAUGGGUGAUCUUGCAUUGAACCAUUCACAUGCAGAUGAUGAUGAUGAUGAAGAGGUAGAAGCAGGUACUGACAAGAGAGGGAGAAAGUCUCGGAAGUUUAUGAAACAUGGAGCUGGUGCCAAAUCAAAGAAACCUAGGGUCCUUGUUGAGGUAAUGGCUAAUUGUUCUUAUAUUCUUCUAGUCUGCUACCUUUUGAAUAUUAACGCAUUUUAGUUUGUCAUUCUAAGUUUCUAUUUUCUAACAAGUAAUGUGAGGGUAAAUGAUUUUUAUUGAUGAUGAAUUAAAUGAAGGGUGCAAAAUUACUGGAUAUUACAGCAAAAUAUGAUUUUUUCACUACUUCCUCGUAUAAAAUCAUUAACUCGAUCCAGAUCUCUGAAGCACUUGGGCAAAGGAUUUUCUGACAUUUGUGCCUAUGCUGCUACGCAUAUGUGGGGUUAUAGAGCAAAUUGCACUUGUUGUAUGAGUCAUUAUGUAGGUGAGGUUUGUAAAGUCCGUCGAUUCGAUUAAGGAUUAAGGAAAGAUGGUGGAAAUGACUUUCCAAUUGCACUUGUUGUAUGAGUCAUUAUGUAGCUUUGACUCGCAGAAGAUGGUAUAAAUAGAAGAGCAAUCUACCUGAUACAAAACAUCCAACAUUCGAUAUCAGUUGAGUUACAAUGGCAGGCUUGGCGCAACCGAAAUCCCAGAGGUGGUGCCUAGGGCUCCUCCAAUGGCCAGACUUUGGCACAGCAGCUGACAACUUAGACUCGAUUGCUGCAAUGAUGCUCAUAAGGCUGGGUUACAGGCACUUCGACACAGCUUCCAUAUACACCUCAGAGCAGACUCUAGGUGAAGCUGUGACCGCUCUUAGCCUCGGCCUUAUUGCCUCUAGAGGCUAAGCACUUCAAAGUUGUGGUGCAAUGAUGCUCAUCCAGACUUGGUCAUUCCUGCUCUAAAGAAAUCACUUCAUAGUCAUCAAAUGGAGUACCUUGAUCUGUAUCUGAUUCACUGGCCCACAAGUGGCAAGUGUUAUAACAAAUGUAUCAAUUAGAUACUGAUCAAUCCUUUUGCUUGAUUUAUACAGUAGUAGAGUAAUUGAAUUUUACAGCAAUAUAAAACAAAUUGAAGUCUAUAUAGCAAUAACAAUUCUUAU